rnacentral:lncRNA from 10 species
AGUUUUCAGAUGAGGAAACUGACGGGUACCAAGCUUAAAUGACUUGACGAAGCUCAUAGAAGAUUAGCAGGUAGUAGAAUAAUGACUGCUGACUCCUAAUUCAGUGGAUCUUCCCUGGCCACCGUUUUGUAUUGAGCUGCAAUGCUUCCUUGACUGUUCUCCAUGCCAGAUUCUUAUCAAUGAUCUUUCACCUAAGAAACAGCAAAGAUUCUGGCAAGCACACGAUCUAGAGAUACAUCUUAUUGCGAUUUUUCACAAAAAUCAAAAGAAGAAAGAAGGCUUAGCUGGUGUUUAAUUAUUGUUAUUUUUUUCAAUAGGGAAAUCUGUACACAAUGAUUUAUCUCCAGUGAUUUGCCAUUGAUCAAUUUUUUUCUCAUUUCAUUUUCUAUUUUUUUGUUUUUUGUUUUUCUUUAUUUUUUAUUUUUUUCUCCUUUUUCUUUUUUUAAAUUUUCUGUUUAUCACAAAUGAUCAUGUAAUUAUAUGUUAAUACUAUGUAACCCCAGUGUUUUCAACUGUUUGUGAUUCAAUGUUACCCAGUUUUCUUUUCUUAAUUUUAAAUAAAUUUG